rnacentral:rRNA from 1 species
CUGGGCGGAUUAGUGGCGAACGGGUGAGUAAUACGUGAGUAACCUGCCCUUGACUCUGGGAUAAGCCUGGGAAACUGGGUCUAAUACUGGAUACUACCUCUUGCCGCACGGUGGGUGGUGGAAAGGGUUUUACUGGUUUUGGAUGGGCUCACGGCCUAUCAGCUUGUUGGUGGGGUAAUGGCUCACCAAGGCGACGACGGGUAGCCGGCCUGAGAGGGUGACCGGCCACACUGGGACUGAGACACGGCCCAGACUCCUACGGGAGGCAGCAGGG